GCUGGAAUUUCUGAACAGCUUUGUUACUCCACAGUUUUGAGGCGACUUUUCAAUGUUGAGCGAAAAAGGGAAUUGAUACACACUCCAUAGGAGCUUACACACAUAAAGGCGAAAGGUGAACAUGGAACUACAUAGAGAGCAUGGCUAGCUGUGGAGC